rnacentral:rRNA from 1 species
GAUGAACGCUGGCGGCGUGCCUAAUACAUGCAAGUCGAGCGAACGGACGAGAAGCUUGCUUCUCUGAUGUUAGCGGCGGACGGGUGAGUAACACGUGGAUAACCUACUUAUAAGACUGGGAUAACUUCGGGAAACCGGAGCUAAUACCGGAUAAUAUUUUGAACCGCAUGGUUCAAAAGUGAAAGACGGUCUUGCUGUCACUUAUAGAUGGAUCCGCGCUGCAUUAGCUAGUUGGUAAGGUAACGGCUUACCAAGGCAACGAUGCAUAGCCGACCUGAGAGGGUGAUCGGCCACACUGGAACUGAGACACGGUCCAGACUCCUACGGGAGGCAGCAGUAGGGAAUCUUCCGCAAUGGGCGAAAGCCUGACGGAGCAACGCCGCGUGAGUGAUGAAGGUCUUCGGAUCGUAAAGCUCUGUUAUUAGGGAAGAACAUAUGUGUAAGUAACUGUGCACAUCUUGACGGUACCUAAUCAGAAAGCCACGGCUAACUACGUG